AUACUUACCUAGCAAGGGAGAUACCAUGAUUACAAAAGUGUCUUUCCCAGAGUGAGGCUCAUCCACUGCACCCUGGAUGUGCUGAUCCCUGUGAUUCUCCAUGAGUGAAUCAUUUCUCCACUGAAUCAUUUCUGAUAGGUGGGGAACUGUGUUUCCAU